GUAAGUCCCUUGCUUAGAUGACCCAGUGGCAGAGCUUGUACUGAUCUCAGGUCAGUCUGUGUCUAAUGCGCUGGGAUCAAUCUCACCAUUUGACUCUUUCCUGAUCAAGCCUCAGCUCCUGCCCUGCAGAGUAUCUCAGGGGAGUGAGGAGACCUGCAAGCUCUCGGGUGGCAGUGGAAUGCUUGCUCUGAUGGAAGCCAGGUCUUAAAUUUGGGAGUCUGCAAGAGCCAGGUCUUAUCCUGUUUUGGCCAUUCUGUAAGGUAUGGAAAGGCUGCCCCCAUAGCUAUUCAGAAGCCAAGGUGGCCAUGGUCACUUCUGCUCUUCAUGACAUCAACAUCAAGGACACCUUCUCCUGGGACUUGUGACUCAGCUCCUCUAGUUCCUUCACAGGUUACCUCCCAAGGGAAAGGCCAGAAACUGGGCAAUUAGCCUAUAUAGGCUUCUGCUCUCAUCAGAAGCUUGGGCUGUUCCCCCGGGGUAUUAAUCUUGUUGGUGAAUGAGGAUCUUCUUGCCCAUUUUUCUGCUGCUGGAAAACAGGGAUGACACCUUCACAAGGUCCCUAGGUCGUGAGAAAUCGUUCCUUGGAUACCAGGUGUCCUGAACAAAAAGUGAAGGCCCAAGGAACAACCUCGACCAGAAGUGUCUGAGCUCACCAAGGAAUGUUGCAGACACAGAUAUCCAGCUCCAAGAAGAGUCAUUCUCAAGCCAGGUUGUAAGCCAUUUGUCCAUGUGAUUUGAAGACCCCACAGUGCACUGAGGGCACUUUUCUUCAUUGGCCUUCCAAAACGCCAUAUUUCUACUCUUUGAAAAA